rnacentral:rRNA from 1 species
UACAGAGGGUGCAAGCGUUAAUCGGAAUUACUGGGCGUAAAGCGCGCGUAGGUGGUUUGGUAAGCGAGAUGUGAAAGCCCCGGGCUUAACCUGGGAACGGCAUUUCGAACUGUCAGGCUAGAGUGUGGUAGAGGGUAGUGGAAUUUCCUGUGUAGCGGUGAAAUGCGUAGAUAUAGGAAGGAACACCAGUGGCGAAGGCGGCUACCUGGACCAACACUGACACUGAGGUGCGAAAGCGUGGGGAGCAAACAGG